CCCGGCCCUGAUCGAAGCUGCAUUGAGCUGGUCCUGUAGCUCAUGUGGUCAAAACAGGAGCCCAGAGUGAACCUGUUUCCAUUGACGGUCGCUGCUCAGUUUUACUGCUGUAUCUGAUUUAGCAACAUUUCUAUGGAGCACAAUG